GACAGAGGGUGCGAACGUUGUUCGGAAUUACUGGGCGUAAAGCGCGUGUAGGCGGCAGCGCAAGUCGGGCGUGAAAUCCCACGGCUCAACCGUGGAAGUGCACUCGAAACUGCGCAGCUAGAGUCCUGGAGAGGAAGGUGGAAUGCUUGGUGUAGAGGUGAAAUUCGUGAGAUAUCAAGCGGAACACCGGUGGCGAAGGCGGCCUUCUGGACAGUGACGUGACGCUGAGACGCGAAAGCGGUGGGGAGCAAACAGGG
rnacentral:rRNA from 1 species